AGAGAGAGAGAGAGAGAGAGAGAGAGAGACUCUAGUGCUGCAGUAACUUUACAUGAUAGUUUGUUCCUUGUUUUUUUUUUUCAUUUGCUAGUCUUCAGCAUCACCAAGUAUCCUUAUUUACCUAAAAUUUUCACAAGACAAACCUACCCUCACUCCUCCUACUUUUCUGUCAGUUAAUUAUUGAAAUUUUACCAGUUAGUCAGUUAAUUAUUGAAUUCCAAUCAAUCAGUUAAUCAGUAAUAUACAGAGGUCCUCUUAUCAGUCAAUCAGUAAACUCCAGUUAGUCAGAUAGUUAUCUCGAGGCAUCUCUUUUUGUCCUGCAAAAAAUCAAUGGUCAGUACAUUACUGGCUGCAUAAAAAAAUCAAUGGUCUGCCAUAAAUUGAAUUUAAAUUUUUGGAAAAAGAUUCGUUUGUUAUGAUUUGAGCGUUAGAAAUUGAGUGUUUAAAGCUUGAGGAAGAGACCAGCUAGCUUCUUUCAUUCUGAGGUAUACAGUUAGUGUCUGUGACCUGAGGGGUUCACUUCUUGGGCCAGUGACCUUCCUAAAGACUUGUUUCUGUUAUUUUCAUUUUGUUAUCAAUUAUGUAUUAGUACAUGUUGUCAAAAGCAAAUAAAAUCUUAAGUUAAGAAUU
rnacentral:misc_RNA from 1 species